GCGUCACCGCGCUCGCCGCUUCCGUCCGUGCCGCGUUCCGCCCUCCGCACGCUGGCCAUGGCGAGCCGGGGGGCCCGGCAGCGCUCGAAGGGAGGCGCGGGUAGCGGCGGGGACGCGGCCUCGGCCGCCGACAGGCUGCGGGAGCUGCUGUGCAGCCGGGAGGCGGGCAGCUCGGAGCCCCGGCCCGAGUCAUCUGGGACCAAAGCAGGGCAAGUCUGGGCACCCGAAGGGUCUACCGCUUUCAAAUGUCUGCUGUCUGCAAGGUUAUGUGCUGCCCUCCUGAGUAACAUCUCUGACUGUGAUGAAACAUUCAACUACUGGGAACCAACACACUACCUCAUCUAUGGGAAGGGGUUUCAGACUUGGGAAUAUUCCCCCGUUUAUGCCAUUCGCUCCUAUGCUUACCUGUUGCUUCAUGCCUGGCCAGCUGCAUUUCAUGCAAGAAUUCUACAAACUAAUAAGAUUCUUGUCUUUUACUUUGUACGAUGUCUCCUGGCUUUUGUGAGCUGUAUCUGUGAACUUUACUUUUAUAAGGCUGUGUGCAAGAAGUUUGGGCUGCAUGUGAGUCGAAUGAUGCUAGCCUUCUUGGUUCUCAGCACUGGCAUGUUUUGUUCAUCCUCAGCAUUCCUCCCUAGCAGCUUCUGUAUGUACACCACCCUGAUUGCCAUGGCUGGCUGGUACAUGGACAAGACUUCCAUCGCCGUGCUGGGAGCAGCCGCUGGGGCGAUCAUAGGCUGGCCAUUCAGUGCUGCACUUGGUUUACCUAUUGCCUUUGAUUUCCUUGUCAUGAAACGCAGAUGGAAGAGCCUCUUUCAUUGGUCACUGGUGGCCCUGAUACUCUUUCUGGUGCCAGUGGUGGUCAUUGACAGCUACUAUUAUGGAAAGUUGGUGGUCACACCACUCAACAUUGUUUUGUAUAAUGUUUUUACGCCUCAUGGACCUGAUCUUUAUGGAAAGAGAGUGGCUUUUGGACUUGUUCACCUGGGGCAUCGGGUCAUCAGCACCACCUGGACACAGAGCAGCGUGAGGCCUGCACCAUCAGCAGCAUCCUCUCCUCUCGUCAUUUCUUACCUCCCUGUUUCCUCAGGUACAGAGCCCUGGCAUUUCUAUCUGAUUAACGGAUUUCUGAAUUUUAACGUGGCCUUCGCCUUGGCCCUCCUGGCCUUACCCUUGACCUCUCUCAUGGAGCGCCUGCUGCAGAGAUUUCACGCCUCACAAAGAGGAGAGAUUUCUUUUCCCCGUGUACCCUCUUAUAUGUCUGUGUGGCGCUGUGGCCCUUUCUGCACUUCAGAAAUGUUAUCACUUCGUGUUUCAGCGAUACCGCCUGGAGCAUUACACUGUGACUUCAAGUUGGCUGGCAUUAGGGACACUCCUCCUGUUUGGGCUCUUAUCCUUUUCUCGCUCGGUGGCACUGUUCAGAGGUGGAUGUACCACGAAUAUCCUAACCUGCUCUCAGGAGGCACUUCACUGGGGGUUCUGUUUAGGGUGAUUCACUACAGCUUAAACUGGGAGGAGGACUUUUCUGUAGGUAGAACCUGUGGACUAAUGAGUGGGCUGUGACUUCUCUACCUCUGGACUGAAGAGAAGAUUGAGAAUUAUUGUUAGUGUGACUAGCUAUAAAUUUUUUUCUCUAUUCCUGUGAAUUUUUUUUUCCUCUUAAAGGAAGCUUUUUUUUUUAAAGGAUGAAUUAAGGAAGCCUUAGGUUUAAGAUGCAAAUUUGUGGCUUAGUUCCCGUGAUUAUAUUCUUUUUUGUAAUCAUUAUUUCCGUCCAGGGUAUUAAAAUGUGUUGAGAGAACAUAAGUUUAAAAGGUUGGAAGGGUACAGGGCAAGAAAGCAAAUUAUUUUUGGCAAAACAGGGCCUCUUUGGUAAUCCUCUUCCUAACCCCAGAGAUGUUUUGCGCUAGUAGAGCAGCUUCCUGCUGGGGUUGCCUUGGGCCUCCACUCAUGAAUUUCACAUGGAUCACAGCGGGGCAGGAACACACAUCAUAACUAACGUCAGAAUCUUGUUUUACUCGUCUUUGGCUUUCACAAACGUUUCUCUUCUCCAGGGUACCAUGGGCCCCUUGACUUGUAUCCAGAAUUUCACCGCAUUGCUACGGACCCUGCCAUCCACACUGUCCCAGAAGGCAGGCCUGUGAAUGUCUGUGUAGGGAAAGAGUGGUAUCGAUUUCCCAGCAGCUUCCUUCUGCCUGAUAAUUGGCAGCUUCAGUUCAUUCCAUCAGAGUUCAGAGGCCAGUUAC